CCCGGCUCCGCCAGACCUCGCAAAGCGGAGCUUGGAGAGGCAGAGAAGCUCAUUGCUAAAAGCCCCAGCUCAGGGGAAGUGAGGAGGGAGCGGUGUCCCACGCCUUUUCGAGAAGGGUGGGAGUGUCCUAAGGUAGUGGACAGCUUGACUCUGGUCAACUCUGGACCUGGCAUCCCAGCCCACCCGCGGGAAGAACACAGCAAUAAAGAAACCAUGAGAGAGGAGAGGAGGUAGACUCUAACCCAAGCCAGGGCUUGAGAAAAGGCUGGGGCAAUUGGAGGAACCCACUGAAACCUUAGCGUCCGGGAGAGGGAUUGUAGGGAAUGAGAUGCAGCCCCACAGAAAAGAAGCUGGCAGCAGCUGAGGGGCUUUCCCCAAGAAGCCCUCGUCACCACCUCAGAUGAAGUGGUCCCUGCUGGGUGCUCUGCCAGGGUCUAUGAGGCAAUUCAAGAUGAGAAAUGGAACAGUGGCUUUGCAAAGGCAAAUCAUUCCAGCAGCACCUUCGAAACACUGGCGGAAACAAGCUCUUUUUGUGUGUGUGAAAAUGGGAAAUAUAUUGUUUUUUACUGCUUGGAA